GAUUAAAAGGGCUCAAAACUGAAUUUAGUUGUAGUUGGUCAAAUUGAUUCAUAUUUGAUGUGAAUUAAUUAAGUCAAGAUCGAAUUUAGCUCAGCGAUUCGAGUCCGGAUCUAUAGGUUAACCUAAUUGAUUCUAAUCAACCAAUUUGAUGUCUAAGAUAAGUAUUAGAUGGUGGUUAUUUAAUUAGUUCCAUUAUCUGAUCUGGCCA
rnacentral:lncRNA from 1 species